rnacentral:rRNA from 1 species
GUUAGGAAUAUUGGACAAUGGGCGCAAGCCUGAUCCAGCCAUGCCGCGUGAGUGAUGAAGGCCUUCGGGUUGUAAAGCUCUUUAGCCGAUGAUUAUAAUGACUGUAGUCGGAAAAUAAGCCCCGGCUAACUUCGUGCCAGCAGCCGCGGUAAUACGAAGGGGGCGAGCGUUAUUCGGAAUCACUGGGCGUAAAGCGUGCGUAGGCGGCUUUGCAAGUUGGGAGUGAAAGCCCAGGGCUCAACCCUGGAAUUGCUCUCAAAACUGCAAGGCUCGAAUUCGGGAGAGGAUAGCGGAAUUGUCAGUGUAGCAGUGAAAUGCGUAGAUAUUGACAGGAACACCAGUGGCGUAAGCGGCUAUCUGGACCGAUAUUGACGCUGAGGCACGAAAGCGUGGGGAUCAAACAGGAUUAGAAACCCCAGUAGUCA